GUCUCGGGCAAGAUGGUUGCCACAGCUUUUGCCUCCCGCUUUCGAGGCUCCCGACGCUUUUUGAGUGGCUUCGUGGCUGGAGCCGUCGCGGGCGCUGUGGGAACCGGGCUAACUGUCGUGCAGUUCCUCCGGAGUCAGGACGCUGAGCCAGCGUUGGCGGUGAGGGAGCCGGACGGUUCUUCAGAAAGGGCUCUCUUAGAACAAUUUGGAUUCCCUUUAACUGGAACAGAGACAAGGUGCUACACUAACCAUGCCUUGUCUUACGAUCAGUCAAAGCGGGUGCCUAGAUGGGUUCUUGAACAUAUAUCCAAGAGCAAGAUAACGGGUGAUGCAGACAGAAAACAUUGUAAAUUCAAGCCAGAUCCCAACAUCCCUCCAACCUUCAGUGCCUUCAACGAGGACUAUGUUGGCAGUGGGUGGUCACGAGGCCACAUGGCUCCAGCAGGAGAUAACAAAUUCUCAUCUAAAGCCAUGGCUGAAACCUUUUACCUUUCUAAUAUCGUGCCUCAGAAUUUUGAUAAUAAUGCUGGUUACUGGAACAGAAUGGAAAUGUACUGUCGAGAACUGACAGAGAGGUUUGAGGACGUCUGGGUAGUAUCUGGACCGCUGACCUUACCUCAGACUGGAAGCAAUGGAAGGAAAACGGUUAGUUACCAGGUGAUCGGCGAGGACAAUGUUGCGGUGCCCUCCCACCUCUACAAGGUGAUCCUGGCGCGCAGAAACCCGAGGUCUGCUGAGCCCCUGGCACUAGGGGCCUUCGUGGUGCCCAACAAGGCCAUUGGCUUCCAGCCCCAAUUAAGUGAGUUCCAGGUGAGCCUGCAGGAGCUGGAGAAGUUGUCAGGACUGGUGUUUUUCCCUCAUCUGGAUAGGACUAGUGACAUCAAGAACAUCUGCUCGGUGGACACCUGUAAGCUCCUGGAUUUCAGGGAGUUCACUCUGUACCUGAGCACAAGAAAGAUUGAGGGAGCCCGAUCGGUACUCAGACUGGAAAAGGUCAUGGAAAAUUUGCAGAACGCAGGCAUUGAACCUGAUGAGGAGUUCAUGACUCGCUACAAGAAGAAGCUGGAAGAACUGAAAGCUCAGGAGCAGUCAGGAGUCCUGGAGAGAAAGUCCUCGUAGUUCACGUCUCAGAAGCGUGAUGUCAUCUGUAAUGAAGCAGGUGCGGCCUCUUCAGAUACUGUAUUUUAGUGGCUUUGUUUUAAAAUGAUGGAAUCCUAAAUUUCAGACUAAAUUGCUCCCCAAAAGAUGUCAGAUGUUUUGGUUGGUACUUUAUUUGACGUGGGAAACUAAGGAAACUGUUAACGCCUGCAGAUCACGGGCUGGUCUUGUGUCAAGUUAACAGGAGGGCUGUGUCUGCGGGAUGACGCUGUGUGCGUCUCCCUCUGGAUGUAUUGUAUGUGAAGGCGUUAUAUUUUCUGCCUCCAAAUCGUACAGUGUCUUUGAUGUAUCUGCUCAGCCUUCUUGGAACCCAAGAUUGUACGUGUUCUUUCCCUGAGACUUGAGCUGGUCUUAGAGAUGGCUUUUGGAGAUCCCCUAUGCAUUGUCCUGACCAUGUGUAUCAUAUAUUUGUUUCUUGUUCCUCCUCUCAUGGACCUGCUGUUCCUCCUCUUCUGUUAUGUAGAAGCACUCAACAACUACAUUUUCUGCUCACUUAGGGUGUUCUGUAUGCUAAGCUAAGUGCUUUCCACGUAUUAUCCUACAGCUACCCUCUGAGGGAAACACCACUAUCCUCAUUUUACCCAUGAGGAAAUUGAGGCUUAGAGAGCUGAAGUAUUUCGCCCAAGGUUCAUCUUCCCAAAGAAGUAAUCCACAAGGAAUGAGGCAUAUAACAUGGGGUACGUUAAAAUCUUCCCUGACACAGAGGCUCAAGGACAUACGUCCGUGGGUGUCUGUGAUCCUGGGGCUUGCUUGGUAAGAGGGGUCUGGUUUCUUGUCUGCAGUCGAGCCAUAGGGACUUGAAUGUCUUCUGACUUGAACUCUCCUUGUUCUUUGGGAAGAAACAGUCACAGGUAUUUGAACGUUAGAGGACAGUGCUUCCGGGGGUUUAUCUGAGUCCCUGCUGGCCUUCAGAAAUGCAGUUCUUCUAGUGCCUGGCUGGUGCCAAAUCGAUGUGUUCCCUGCUUUCCAGAUGGGCUUUUUGUUCUAGAGAUUGAGGAACCUUAGAAGGGUCUGUGCCCACAGAUUCACCAGCUCAUGGCUUGCUCGCCUUUGUGCCUGCCUGUCUACCUGGUUGGCCCAAAGACCCAAAGACAGUUACCUCUGGGGGAAACAGUGGCUGUUUUCUGACCAGAUCUCUAGAUUUGGGUUUGGAAUCCUUUCAUGGGCUGUCAUAAGUGCAGGCAGUAAUAUAUCUUCAAAUAGAGCACAGGAACUUGUCUGACUGUGUCCUGUCAGUACUGUCUUUCCAAGUGGUGUUACCAGAACAGUUUUUGUGGUGCUUUUGUGUUUGUCUCUAACAGAAAUGCCAAGGUGCUAAGAUAAAGGUAAGAUGAGAAUGGUUGAUCUUGUUCCGCUUUAUUUGGGUAAACAAGAAAGAAGUUGGGGGGUCAGAACACUUCAGCCCGGUUAAUACCGGCCUGUUUUAUCCCACUGUUCCCCAUAAGCUUGUGCCAGUCUUCUUCUUCUCAAGGAGAAAGAGCCAAAAUGUCACUGUGACCAAAAAAAUCUGUUACUUUUUCUCCUCCUUGAAGAGGUGACAGUGGGGUCUGGGUGUUUUUCCAGGAGCCCGAGGGCGGCUCUGUGGGAGAGGUCCUACCGCCCAUCUCCAGAGUAACAUCUUUAUUUCGAGACUUCAGGCUCUUUGGUCUGUGGAUUGAGACUAUUUCGCCUAUAUCGUAUGCAGCAAAGGGGGACCUUACACAAGUGGCAAAGGACUUAGAAUAGAGCCCAGCAGGAGAUACAGAGUCUGAUCUCAAGGGAAUGAAUGGCUUCUUGCAGAGCUGGGCUCAGCCUGCAGCCCUGCUCUUGGAGUGACUAUGCGCCUGACACCUCCCAGGCCACUUCAGGCAGCUACAGAGACCCACACAAGGGGCCCCACGCCCAGAAUCCAAGUUUUGGCUUCAAGAACAGUGAGGAGCUCCUGCACUGGCCCAUUCCAAGCGGUAGUGACCUGGAGCAUGUCAGAGGGGAGGCCUGGCCCUUUACUGCUUAUGGAAAUCAAAUGAUCAGUGCCUGAAGAAGACUGACUCGAGGCCCAAGGACACAGCAAAUAUCAAGGUCAUCACACAAACAUCAGCCCCACAGCACCCUAAAGCCCAGAACCUAAAGAAGCAGAAGAGGGGACAAACUGCCUUAAAAAGGACAUUAAGUCAUGUAUACUUCCUGCAGGAGUGUAUCAGAGAGCUUGUUUCCACCGGUAUUGACAAGAGACGCUACAAAGGCAGUUUAAUUUUCCAAUAUAAUAGGGAAAAAACCGUUACACUGGCAUUGUAUUGUAUUUUCCCCGACUAUCUUUGAGGUUGGGUGCCUCUUCAUAUGUAACAUGAUCAUUUUUAUUUCUCUUUCAGUGAAAUUUAAUUUCACAGGUUCCAAAUAUUUUUAUUUGGUCACUUCUAUUUUUUGUCUUGAGAGGCCAUUCAAAUAUACUUUAUAUUUGUGGUGUCUUCUCCCACAGCAUCCUUCCAAGCCAAUUACUGUCCACCCAGUCACUAAAAAAUUUGUCAAGGAACUUGUUUUCACACGUCAUCCACCACUCAAGACACCUGAUAUGAGGGCGAUCUGCCUUGAACAGCCUUACAUCAAGAACUCUGUACUGAGCUCUUUGCUCUCAACUUGUGGACCAGAUAAAUAAUGAGGGUAUCAUCAUUACCUCACAACCUGCACCCAAGCACAUUGGUCAGUGCUCAAACAUCAUUGCCAAGGUGACAGGCAACAGGCCUGGGAUCUUCUCCUAUGAUGUCCCCAGCCUGCCACCAAGACAUCUGGUCUGGACCAUGUCAUCAACCACAAGGCACAACUCAAGUGUCCUGAAGUAGACUCAGUGUGUGGACCAGAGCCUGUCAAACAUAAAUGUGACCAGGACUCCAAACUCAGGCCCCAGGCAAGAGAUCGUCCCAGGUCUCCAUCCAGUUUUGCUAGAACCUCCCCCCUCCACCCUACCCGCUACUCUACCCCCAAUAAAGUAAGACUCAGGUCCCUAUUUUCCUCUGACGAUACUCAGAGACCUGAUCUGUGGAAUUGUCCAUAGUCUUCAUCCUCUUCCCAGUACAACUGGACUUGGAUACACACAGGCACAUCAAAUGACCAUAAGGCCACCUGCCCCAGUGCUAAGCACUGACUCCCAGCCUCUACCCAACUCACCUCGCCCAAUCCAGGCCUGCACUGUCCCCCAACCCCCACCAUCUAUGCACGUUCCAGACCAACCCCCCAGAAUUGUCUUCAUGAUGGGACAAGGGAUGGGAGAAGGGCUCCAGGUUCAGAACAACUUUCAUUUCAUCCUCCUGAGAACCCUGCUCCUACAAGUCAGAUGUUUCACAUCUUAGAGGAAUCUGGGUCAUCCUACCCCAUGUCCCAGUCCAUGUUCUCCAUGAGGACUUUCUGGUCUCCUCCUCUGAGGAGAGUGAUCCACCCCACCCCAAGGCACGGAAGACAGCCUCCAGGCUAACGUGUCUUAGAGGGGACUACCGCAGUAAAAGAAAGAAGAAAAGAGCAGAAUUUGUCUCAUGAAUUAGCACUUCCCCAGGUGUGGUUUAUGUACAAAUUUCAGAACACCGAAUACCAUUGAGAGUUUCACAGCCCAUUUCAUGUAAUGUUAUGAGUGAUGUAAAUUUAACUUAUGUUUUAAAUGGAAGUUACCAAACUGUCAUAUAAAGUAUUUAGUAAAUUAGAAAAAUUGUUUGCUAAUCCUUUUACAAUAUAUGUCAAGUCAUGCUGUGCACCUCCAAUUUCUACAGUACUGUAUGUAGAAACUGCAUCUCAAUAAAACUGAAAGAAAAAUAAAGGAAAAUAUUAGUAAGUUAAUAAGAAACUGAGUCAACACACUGGAAAAUAUUAAGCUAUAAUGCCAGUAGGAAGCGAUUGAUUAGCAUCUAUUUGUAUUCAGUGUGCAGGUAACUGGAAUUUGGGAAACUCUGGAUAAAAUAGACACCUAUGUUUUUUAAGCUGAGCCUUUCCUGAAACUAGAAUUUUUCUCUCUGAAGGAGUGCUACUGAAAACCAUAAUGGAGGAUAC